ACCUAAUAGAUACCCUGGUAGUCCACGCCCUAAACCGAUGCGAACUGGAUGUUGGGUACAUUACGGUACUCAGUGUCGAAAGCUAAACGCGUUAAGUUCGCCGCCUGGGGUAGUACGGUCGCAAGACUGAAACUCAAAGGAAUUGACGGGGGUCCCGCACAAGCGGUGGAGUAUGUGGUUUAAUUCGAUGCAACGCGAAGAACCUUACCUGGCCUUGACAUCUGUCGAAUCCUGCAGAGAUGCGGGAGUGCCGCAAGGAACGACAAGACAGGUGCUGCAUGGCUGUCGUCAGCUCGUGUCGUGAGAUGUUGGGUUAAAGUCCCGCAACGAGCGCAACCCGUUGUCCCUAGUUGCCAACACGUAAUGGUGGGAACUCUAGGGUAGACUGCCGGUGACAAACCGGUAGGAAGGUGGGGUAUGACGUCAAGUCCUCAUGGCCCUU
rnacentral:rRNA from 1 species